rnacentral:lncRNA from 1 species
GAAUGAUGGAAAGGAAGGAGAGGGGCAUGUGCUUAAGGUUGUUGCGACCUGGUGGUGGCGCUCGCCGGUGCUGCUCCGAUUCAACCUGGAUCGAGGCUAGAGAAGAUGGGAACGAGGCGCUCGACCUUGCGGGCCUGUUUGUCGCUGCAAUGAGGAGGCCUCCCGUUCGCCCGAUCUGACCACAAACGGACAGGAUUGAUGGAUCUGACUAACCCGCGUUGGCUGGUGGAAUGAAGUAGUGGCGGCGGAUCCAGAUAGGGAGGAUCCCGAGGAGGGAGGUGUAGCUGACGAC